rnacentral:rRNA from 1 species
AUACGUAGGGGGCGAGCGUUGUCCGGAAUGACUGGGCGUAAAGGGCGUGUAGGCGGCCGAUUAAGUCUGGAGUGAAAGUCCCGCUUUCAAGGUGGGAAUUGCUUUGGAGACUGGUUGGCUUGAGUGCGGAAGAGGUAAGUGGAAUUCCCAGUGUAGCGGUGAAAUGCGUAGAGAUUGGGAGGAACACCAGUGGCGAAGGCGACUUACUGGGCCGUAACUGACGCUGAGGCGCGAAAGCGUGGGGAGCGAACAGGAUUAGAUACCCUGGUAGUCCACGCUGUAAACGAUGAAUGCUAGGUGUAGGGGGUAUCGACCCCUCCUGUGCCGGAGUAAACGCAAUAAGCAUUCCGCCUGGGGAGUACGGCCGCAAGGUUGAAACUCAAAUGAAUUGGCGGGG